rnacentral:rRNA from 1 species
UACGUAGGGCGCGAGCGUUGUCCGGAAUUAUUGGGCGUAAAGAGCUCGUAGGCGGCCUGUUGCGUCCGCUGUGAAAUCCCGGGGCUUAACCCCGGGCGUGCAGUGGAUACGGGCUGGCUGGAGUGCGGCAGGGGAGACCGGAAUUCCCGGUGUAGCGGUGAAAUGCGCAGAUAUCGGGAGGAACACCGGUGGCGAAGGCGGUUCUCUGGGCCUUAUCUGACGCUGAGGAGCGAAAGCGUGGGGAGCAAACAGG